GCCUGGGUGGCUCAGUCGGUUGAGCCUCUGACUUCAGCUCAGGUCAUGAUGUCACAGUGCGUGAGUUCAAGCCCCAUGUCGGGCU
rnacentral:tRNA from 1 species